GUAGAGGUUGUUGUGUUAGUGUUUCCAUGGGUAGUGUUAUGAGCCUGGUGAUAGUUUGACAAGGCUUUGGUAGAGGUUGUUGUGUUAGUGUUUCCAUGGGUAGUGUUAUGAGCCUAGUGAUAGUUUGACAAGGCUUUGGUAGAGGUUGUUGUGUUAGUGUUUCCAUGGGUAGUGUUAUGAGCCUGGUGAUAGUUUGACAAGGCUUUGGUAGAGGUUGUUGUGUUAGUGUUUCCAUGGGUAGUGUUAUGAGCCUAGUGAUAGUUUGACAAGGCUUUGGUGGAGGUUGUUGUGUUAGUGUUUCCAUGGGUAGUGUUAUGAGCCUGGUGAUAGUUUGACAAGGCUUUGGUAGAGGUUGUUGUGUUAGUGUUUCCAUGGGUAGUGUUAUGAGCCUGGUGAUAGUUUGACAAGGCUUUGGUAGAGGUUGUUGUGUUAGUGUUUCCAUGGGUAGUGUUAUGAGCCUAGUGAUAGUUUGACAAGGCUUUGGUAGAGGUUGUUGUGUUAGUAUUUCCAUGGGUAGUGUUAUGAGCCUAGUGAUAGUUUGACAAGGCUUUGGUAGAGGUUGUUGUGUUAGUGUUUCCAUGGGUAGUGUUAUGAGCCUAGUGAUAGUUUGACAAGGCUUUGGUAGAGGUUGUUGUGUUAGUGUUUCCAUGGGUAGUGUUAUGAGCCUAGUGAUAGUUUGACAAGGCUUUGGUAGAGGUUGUUGUGUUAGUGUUUCCAUGGGUAGUGUUAUGAGCCUAGUGAUAGUUUGACAAGGCUUUGGUAGAGGUUGUUGUGUUAGUGUUU